CAUAUACAGAAGCAAACAAAGACAUAGAUAGCAGGGUGAAUGUGAGGUAGCUCCUUUGUGACAGUUCUGAGCUUCUUCUUCAAUCACACCGAGGAACAACAUAAUUGAGGUUUUGCAACAUUUCUAUUCUAUGCCCCCUUUCCUUUAGCACGAAACCAUUUUCAAGACAUCUUUAGUCGGAUUCCCUAUAGAUCAUCAAAGAAUCGGUUUUGCUCCCUAUUCAAGAUCACUGUAGUUCUAUAUAUCUCCAAAGCCGGCCACCCCCUUUCUCUUAGACCGUCCAAGCCGUCAUUCCUCUUUCUCUCCAAGCCCAACCCUUCUACCGAAGCCACUGAGGGUUGAAUCGACGGUCAAUGCAGCAUUAGAGCAGAGAAGAUAGCGGCACAGCUGAUUGGCAUCAAGAUUGAACAAGGAUUCGCCCCUUUCUCUAAGCCCUAACCCUAGCUCCCUCUCUCAUUCGAAGCCCUAAAUUCGAAGGACACGAAUUAAGGUCAAAGCUAGGAUUCGGUUGCCGUUACUUUUUUUGUUGUCGUUUUAUUUUUUGUAUAGCUCAUGAAGAAGUUACAUAUAUGUAAUGGAAGAGAGAGACUAAAACAGAGCAAGAAGAUAUAAGAAUUUUUGUUUUAUUUUGGUAUGGCAUAAGAAGAUAGAAAUUUGUAUAUGGUUAAUUUUUGUAUAAAACAAUGAUUUGGAAUUGGUUAUAUAUAUAUAUAUAUAUAUAUAUAUAUAUAUAUAUAUAUAUAUAUAUAUGAUGUUAUUGGUUAGUUAUAAGUUAUUUUGGUUAUGAUGCUA